rnacentral:rRNA from 1 species
GCUUGGGCGUGCCUCCACCCACGCCGGCGUCGGCGGGCGUAUUUCGCCUCACAGUAGGUCGCCGCGACCCGUUGCUUUUGGGGACGUCGAAGGCCCGGACGGAUUGGUACCCUACCGGCUGGGGAUGCGGCUUCGGCUUCUCCUCUUGUCCGGUGGGCGAAACCGCCGGUGUCCUGGCUGCCCUGCGACGGUCGUAGAGACGAGCCCUCCCCUUCGGGGGGGCGGCUCUCGCGGCGUGCAAAAGGUCGGUGAUCCACCCGACCCGUCUUGAAACACGGACCAAGGAGUCUAACAUGUGUGCGAGUCAGUGGGCGCACUAAACCCAGAGGCGUAAUGAAAGUGACACGGGUUCGGCUGUCGCCUCGUGUGGCAGCCGGACUCAGGGCCGAUCCCUCACCGGUUGCCCUCGCCUCUCUCCCGCGUCUCGGUAAGCCGGGUGAGCUAUUUUCCCCGGCCGCUGCUGCGGGGCUCGGGGGGAGGCGGGGUUGCGAUGGUGUCCGUAAAAAAGAGCCUGCUGUUGCAGGGGGGCGCAGGCCCGGGACUUGCCAGGACGCCGCGAGACUGUCACUUUGCUGUGAGGCUCUCGGGUCGAUCAGCGGGUCAUGCGUGCAGUCGGCAAGUACCAUGAGCAGACAUGUUGGGACCCGAAAGAUGGUGAACUAUGCCUGGCCAGGAUGAAGCCAGAGGAAACUCUGGUGGAGGUCCGUAGCGAUUCUGACGUGCAA